rnacentral:rRNA from 1 species
GCUGUUCGCCAUUUAAAGUGGUACGCGAGCUGGGUUUAGAACGUCGUGAGACAGUUCGGUCCCUAUCUGCCGUGGGCGCUGGAGAAUUGAGGGGGGCUGCUCCUAGUACGAGAGGACCGGAGUGGACGCAUCACUGGUGUUCGGGUUGUCAUGCCAAUGGCACUGCCCGGUAGCUAAAUGCGGAAGAGAUAAGUGCUGAAAGCAUCUAAGCACGAAACUUGCCCCGAGAUGAGUUCUCCCUGAGACUUUAAGUCUCCUGAAGGAACGUUAAAGACGAUGACGUUGAUAGGCCGGGUGUGUAAGCGCAGCGAUGCGUUGAGCUAACCGGUACUAAUGAACCGUGAGGCUUAACCUU